UACGUAGGGUCCGAGCGUUGUUCGGAUUUACUGGGCGUAAAGGGCGCGUAGGCGGCCACCGCAAGUCGACUGUGAAAUCUCCGGGCUUAACCCGGAAAGGUCAGCCGAUACUGCGGGGCUAGAGUGCAGAAGGGGCAACUGGAAUUCUCGGUGUAGCGGUGAAAUGCGUAGAUAUCGAGAGGAACACCUGCGGCGAAGGCGGGUGCUGGGCUGACACUGACGCUGAGACGCGAAAGCGUGGGGAGCAAACAGG
rnacentral:rRNA from 1 species